AGGGUCCCUUCCAUUCUUCACUUGAGAACACAGAAUCCUACUGGAAUCAUCAAGCAGAUCAAGAUGUUGUUCGGUUUCUUUGCAGCUGUUCUGUUCACUUUUCAUCUGUCAUCACAGAUGGUUUGGGCAGAAACAAACACCACUUCUCCAGCAACCAUCUCUGCUCCAGCAACCCCCUCUCCAACCAAUGCCAAGACUUCGAAUGGCAUUGCAUCUUCAGCCUCAACCUUCAAAUUUCCACCAGUGCUGCUUCCUCUGGCUUUUACAGCUUCCCAACUUUAUGUCUAAUGCCACAAUCUGACAAUUUGGAAAGUUGUCAUCUGCUCAUCUAACAUUAUCCUCAGUGGAAAUAUUUCAAUAAGUUUGCCUAUUUAAUUUUGUGGCGGGAACUACAUCAAGGUUUUAAUGGACUACAGCAAUCCAGCAAUUCUAGUUGCUCUACACAAGUCCUGAUUUUCACUUGGUGCUGUCAUGGACUUUAAGAUGUUCUUAUUCUGGAAAAUUCUUAUAUUUCUAUGUGUUGGUGGGUCAAAAUGUCUUAACACUUUAAUAUGCUUUCAGAUUUUAAGAGGUGUGCCUUAAAUUCUUUCAGUUGAAUAAAACUGUAAUGACAAUUGUUUUCUUGCUGAUUUAUUGUAAGAUAUAAGUGGAUGCAUCAACCAUUAAAUAAACUGCCAGUGAAAGAAAUGCA